ACCAACCUGUGGUCCUUCAGAU
rnacentral:miRNA from 1 species